UGGGUUCGCGGGGUUUGAACCGGAAGUGUGGCGGCUUUCAGGGCGCAUUGUUCAACCUCCCCGCUGGCUCUUCCUGGCUCCGCAGCACCUGUCCUCGUAAUGGUCACAUCUCUUUCGGGCGCUGGGGGGCCAGGUCAGGUGCGUCCCAAAGGCCCAAGAGGGGACUUGUCCGCCCGGUGGGUCUGGGGCUGCUGGCUCCAGCUCCUGGAGUGACGUCGCUGCAGCCUUCCGGGCCCUCUGUACCCCGGCUUUGGGAGGGGAGGGUGCGAAGUCCAAGCAGGCCUGCUCUCUGCUGCCCAGUCACUUUCUGUACUGGAUCGCACCUGAUCACAGGGCUGCCCAGAGACAGAGACGAACCCCGGGGUGCAGAGCCACCUGGAGGAGCAGAGGGGUCCUCUCGGGCUGGAGCUGCCCCCCAGCUCUUCCUUCUCCAGGCGAGCCCGGCGAAGCUUACACAGUUUCCUGGAGAAGCGCUGGGCGUCCUGUGUCCGCUCCUGAUCAGGCCUUCUGAAAUUAACCCCAAGUCAUUCUGUGCGCCACCGGUGUUGGAGCCAGAGAGAGGUCGUUGUGUGACUCAGAAAUCAACUUGCUGUACAGAAUUGUUUUUGCGUGUUCAGUGAUCUCAUUCAGUGCCCAACACGGGCUGGGAUUUCUUUCUUUUUUUUACCCUUAAGUGACUGCAUUCGACUCUGCUCUGCUAUAUUUAGAUUCUGAAAUCUCUCCUAAAACGAUUAUACUAUUUCUUUUACUUCCAUUGUUGCUCUCCCAACUGUGUUCCAAGCCUUGACGUAUUCGAAUCGUUAUAAAUUUAAAAUCUCCCCCACAAACUGGGAAAGGGAACCCAAGUGAUGAUGUAAUCUCACUUUACAGAACAGCACUGUCCAAUACAAGCUCCUGUGAUGGAGGAAAAAUGUCUUUUGCCGGCACUGUUCAGUGUGGUGGCUACAUGUGGCUAUGAGCACUUGAAAUGCGACAGUCAACUUAAGGAACUGAAGUUUUCGUUUUAAUUCAUUCAAUUUACAUAGCCAGAAGUGAAACCACAGGUUGGUCAGAGCCGUGUGAAAGGCUGUAUGCUGCAUGCAGAUCUUAAAUUGAAGGCAACUAAUGUUUCUUUACUCCACUCAUUCUCCAAGUAUUUACCAGCCUUAAUACAACUGAAAGAUGCAACUCAGUUCUAUGAGAGUGAUUUUAAAAACGUUUUAUUUUAUAUUGGAGUCUUUGGAUUAACAAUUUUGAUAGUCUCAGAUAGACCAGCAGAGGGACUCAGCAAUACAUAUACAUGUAUCCAUUCUCCCCCAAACUCCCUCCCAUCAGGCUGCCACAUAACAUUGAAUAGAGUUCCCUGUGCUAUACAGUAGGACUUUGUUGGUUAUCCAUUUUAAAUAUAGCAGUAUGAAUGUGUCAAUCCAAAGCCAGAGUGAUUUUUUAACUGAGGGCAGCAUCUUGUAGCUUGAACUCUAGUAGGGGUUUGAAAAAGUUCUCUGGGUGAAUCUGAUACCCAUCAUACCCACUUCAUCUGAGAAACACUGCUUUACAGAGAGGUACUCCAUGAAACUAACAAGUUCUUAUUCUUGAGUCAGAGUUGGCAAACAUUUUUUAUAAAGGUGUCCUUUUUUUUUUUUAAUGACCAGUCAAACUGUUUCUAAUAUUUUGGACUAACUCCCACUAAGAGAAAAACGUCUUUUGAAUAGAACACGGUUCUCCUUAUUUCUAGAAUAGAAUAGAAUAAAAAAUUUCCAUUUUUAUUCAUUCAGUAGUUUGGUGGAAGGAAUAUCCAGGGGGAAUAAAAUAGAUGGAAAGUAUGAAUACAGUGUUGGUCAAGUCUCAGCUCAGCUGUUUUCUGCUGGGUGACCUUGGACCAGUUACUGAACCCUGACCCCAGCCUAGGGUUUCUGCUCUGUGCAGUUGGAAUAAUAAAGCUCUUGGCUUCCAGGCACCUCCUUAGGCAGUUGUGAAAUGAGAUGAUCUAAGCAAUAGUGCUUCGGAGUGUUUGUGUGUAGUCAGUGUGCCUGAUGACUGUGUAGGGCUGGUCUUCCCUUGUGAAAACCAAUCCAGGGUGGGUUGAUUCUAGAAGGGUGAUGCCUACACUUCACUUGAUUUGCCUUAAAUC